CACCGCAAAGAGAAAAGAGUUCUUGUCCACCAAACAAUGGCGAAUAAAAUAGACUACCGACACCACCAUCCAAACACACACUCACUGCGUGAAAGAGAAAGAAAAGCUUCCAUGUGAAGAAGUGCUUAUGACUUGAAUAAACAGUAGCCCGAUAAAGAAACAAGGAUUAUAACUUACACCUUCUACAGAGAAAAAGAAAAAAGAGAGUUGGGUUUUCAUUUUUCCUGUGAAGUGAGCCAAAAGACAGCCAAGUUAAAGGGGUAGCAUAUUUCUUACUUGUACAUUGAAAAAAAAAAAAAAAAAAAAAGGCAUUUCAUGAGAUAGAAUCAAUAACUAUUGUUUUUACUUUGGUAGGACAAAUUUUUCAAAUUUUUUUUUUUAAUACAAAGAAACUGAUAUUUAUUUGUAGUGGCUCAAAAAGUGAGCAGUAUCAACUUUGUGAGGCUCAUGUAGCAGAUUCAAGGAGUGAGGAACCAGAUCUCUCAAGAACUUAAGGUAAGGUUUUUUUAUUAAUGAAUUUAGUUUGAUUUUUUCUGGGAUUUUCUUGAAAUUCUCUUUUCUUGUGAUGGAAUUUGAUGAAGUAUGAAAUUCCUUUUUUUUUUCCCCGUGUUUUAUUAUGUGUUCUUUUGUUUUUUUCAUGCUUUGAUUUGCUGGAUUUUUAUGGGUUUUCUUUAUAUUCAGAAGAAGAAAUAAGUUCUUACUUUUUACUCGUGUUCGGAUAGCAUGAUUCAUGAAUUUAGGAUAUAUGUAUAGGCAUGUUCUUGUAUUGAAUCUAUAAUCUGUUUACUGGGAGGGUUG
rnacentral:lncRNA from 1 species